rnacentral:rRNA from 1 species
CCAGAGAACUUUCCAGAGAUGGAUUGGUGCCUUCGGGGAACUCUGAGACAGGUGCUGCAUGGCUGUCGUCAGCUCGUGUUGUGAAAUGUUGGGUUUAAGUCCCGCAACGAGCGCAACCCUUAUCCUUUGUUGCCAGCGGUUAGGCCGGGAACUCAAAGGAGACUGCCAGUGAUAAACUGGAGGAAGGUGGGGAUGACGUCAAGUCAUCAUGGCCCUUACGAGUAGGGCUACACACGUGCUACAAUGGCGCAUACAAAGAGAAGCGACCUCGCGAGAGCAAGCGGACCUCAUAAAGUGCGUCGUAGUCCGGAUUGGAGUCUGCAACUCGACUCCAUGAAGUCGGAAUCGCUAGUAAUCGUAGAUCAGAAUGCUACGGUGAAUACGUUCCCGGGCCUUGUACACACCGCCCGUCACACCAUGGGAGUGGGUUGCAAAAGAAGUAGGUAGCUUAACCUUCGGGAGGGCGCUUACCACUUUGUGAUUCAUGACUGGGGUGAAGUCGUAACAAGGUAAGCGUAGUGCU